rnacentral:lncRNA from 1 species
GGAGCCAGUCAAGUUCUGUCCUUCCUUCCCCUCCCACAUACUUUGUCAAGUCCCAGGACCUACUGAUAUGGGCUCAGCAAUGACAAAUGCCAGAGUGCUCAGAGGACACACCCAUCCCUUUUCAGGGUGUGAACCCAGACUGGAAAGGAGAACCAAAGGAUGGGAAAGGCAGGCCCGGGACGGCUUGCUGCUGCUCCUGCUUUCACAGGAAUCCUGGUCAUGCCAGGAACACUGCCGCCCACUUGGGGUGGGACUAUGUGGAAGUCUAGCUAGUGCUCGGCACCCCUUAACCCAAUGGUGAGAAACAGGACAAACAUGCUGGGGGUUCAGAGGGUGGACCGCAGGGAUGGCCCCCAAACAGGUCCCAGUGAGGUAAUGCAAGGCCUCCUCUCGGGGGCUGAUGAGGUCUUCUAGGCCACAGACUAAACGCACUGCCCAGCCUUUAGUUUGGAGUGUGACUUGCACUGACUGAAAUAAAUCUGACCUGUCACCC